GAUGAACGCUGGCGGCGUGCUUAACACAUGCAAGUCGAACGGUGAAAGAGAGCUUGCUCUCUGGAUCAGUGGCGAACGGGUGAGUAACACGUGAGCAAUCUGCCCCUGACUCUGGGAUAAGCGCUGGAAACGGCGUCUAAUACCGGAUACGAGCUGCGAAGGCAUCUUCAGCAGCUGGAAAGAACUUCGGUCAGGGAUGAGCUCGCGGCCUAUCAGCUAGUUGGUGAGGUAACGGCUCACCAAGGCGUCGACGGGUAGCCGGCCUGAGAGGGUGACCGGCCACACUGGGACUGAGACACGGCCCAGACUCCUACGGGAGGCAGCAGUGGGGAAUAUUGCACAAUGGGCGAAAGCCUUAUGCAGCAACGCCGCGUGAGGGACGACGGCCUUCGGGUUGUAAACCUCUUUUAGCAGGGAAGAAGCGAAAGUGACGGUACCUGCAGAAAAAGCACCGGCUAACUACGUG
rnacentral:rRNA from 1 species